AGGAGCAACGAGCCGCCGUCCCCUCCGCUUCCUCUCCCCCGCCGGUCGCCGUCCCCGCUCUCCCCUGCGAGCUCAAACCAAAGCAAAUCCCUGCUAGGGUUUGCGCUCCGGGCAUGCUCCCCUCGUAGCCACCACCUCCCAUGGCCCUAGCCCCCUCCUCCUGGCCAAGAACGCCGCCCGCCCUUUCCCCCAACCGCCGCAAGCGCCGCCCCGACGCCUCUCCCCCGCCCCAUCACUUCCACGGCCCGCAAACCCACAGCCGCCUAAGUCAGCGCCUCCGCCGCUGGUGCCCGCCCCCGCCGCAGGCGAGGUCCGUCGCAUUCGACAUGCUCAACUUCCUCUCCGGCCUCCUCGGAGGGUUGCGGCCCAAGGACAAUGGGCUGGGGCUGUUAAAGAGCUGGACUGCGCAGUCGCGGGAUCUCACGGUGGUUACGGAUGAGGAGAACGGAACGGCGCAUCGUUUGCUGGACCGGAGGGUUAAGGAUUCGAGGAAGGCUACGCUGGAGGCGGUGAAGAGCCAGCCGCGGCAGAAGGGCGAGCCCUUCUACAAGAAGGCGCACAAGGAGGCGAGACGGAACGACGGUAGGUUGGAGGAGAUAGGGAUCGAGGUGAAGCUCUAUGAGGAAAAGCAUGCCGAGAUACGGAAGUUAGACAAGGCUGUCAAGGAGGAUUUGUCUGGACUAUUUAAGCGUCUCACUGAGGAGGAGGAAAAUGAAGUUCAUGACUGUUUCGAUGCUGGAGGUCCAAGCAAAGUCCUUGUGUUGCAUCAACCAUCGAACAUUGAGGUUAGCAAAGAGAAAUUCCAGUGCUUGAGACGCGGUCGAUGGUUAAAUGAUGAGGUUAUUAACCUAUACCUAGAAUUGUUAAAGGAGAGGGAAAAAAGAGAGCCGAAAAGGUUUUUGAAAUGCCAUUUCUUUAAUACAUUCUUUUAUAAGAAGCUUGCUUGCGGGAAAAAUGGUUAUGACUACAAAUCUGUUAAAAGGUGGACUACCCAUAGGAAGUUGGGAUAUGAGCUCAUUGAAUGUGAUAAAAUCUUUGUCCCUGUGCAUAAAGAUGUGCAUUGGUGUUUAGCAAUUAUAAACAUGAAGGAAAAUACGUUUCAGUAUCUUGAUUCUCUGGGCGGCACGGAUCAUAAUGUACUAAACAUGCUGGCUCGAUAUAUUGCAGAGGAAGUCAAGGAUAAAAGUAACAAAGUAAUUGACACUAGUUCGUGGCAUGAAGAGAUAGUUGAUGAUAUUCCUUUGCAACAGAAUGGGUAUGUCUUGUUUAUAGUAAUGAUUCUAUCCUUCAUAAAUCAUGUGCCGUUUAGUAGACUAGGUAGUGUGUGCCUCCCUCCCACAAUUGGCCAUUUAAAUAACUUCUGUUAUAUCACCCCCCUGCGUACAAUUCUUAUGAAACCAUCUGCAUCUACUUGAGGUAUGGAAGGUUUAGGCCUAAAAUAAACAUAAAAGUUAUUGAUGCAGUUGGGAGUUUUGUAGCAUGCAUUUGAAAUGAACUUUACACUCAUAUGUGUUAGAACCAACAAGAAGGAUAGUUAAAAAACUUUUUCCUUUCAAUUUUACUUUUGCUUUAUCAUUUCGUUUCAUGCAUCUACUUGAGAUAUGGAAGGUUUACGCCUAAAAUAAACAUAGAAGUUAUUGAUGCAGUUGGGAGUUUUGUAGCACGCAUUAGAAAUGAACUUUACACUCAUAUGUGUUAGAAGCAACCAGAAGGAUAGUUUUAAGUGUAUAAAAGUUUUUCCCUUUCAAUUUUACUUUUGCUUUAUCAUUUCUCAGAAAUUUCUCAUUUUCAGUACUGUCAACAUAAUUUGUUUGAACUUGAAGGGAUUUUUUUUUCAUGGCUCAUUAAACUGGGUGGUGAAUUUGCCCCUACGUUUUAUUUUUGAAGUUGUUCAUACUAAAAUGUUCCCCUACCUCCACUGAAUGUAUUUUCCACUAGACUGCAGCUUUCUUUGAAAUCCUCAUAUGCAGUGUGUUUUCUGUGCCCAAGUACUAAUAAGGAAAUUUAUGGUGGUAGGCAAAGGACCAAAAAUAUAAUUGUAGCUGGCUCAAGCAUUUAUUUUCAUUGUAACAAGUGACAAAAAGAUAUCGUGUUUUUGUUGUAACAGGUGGGACUGUGGUAUGUUUAUGCUCAAGUACAUUGAUUUCCACAGCAGAGGAUUGAACCUAUCUUUUAGUCAGAAAGACAUGGAAUAUUUUAGGAAGAGAACAGCGAAGGAAAUCUUAAAAUUAAGAGCUGACUGAAUAACUCAUGGAUAGCACAUCCUUCUCUUUAUGAGAUAUAGAAGCUGACUUUUUGUAGUGUGUUUCGGGAACUAGAAUAGUAGCUGAUUGACACGUCACUGUGCAUCAUUGAGCCUAAUUCAAACCUGUAAAUCGUUUAUUGGAUGUUUGUCGCAUGUGACAGCCUCAGCUUCUUUGGGUGCUGACGUCCAAUGAUGUAAAGGCGACCCGGUUUUCUGUAAAGCCAUUGUUUGAAGAAACGCCGAGGCGAAAGUUAGAUAUAGGUACACUGAUAUUUGUCAUUGGUUAUAGUAUGUGAUAGGAUUAUUCUUUUUCGAACAUUUAUGGUUAUAAGCUUGAACUUAAGACCUC